rnacentral:rRNA from 1 species
AUUGAACGCUGGCGGCAUGCCUUACACAUGCAAGUCGAACGGUAACGGGCCUUCGGGUGCCGACGAGUGGCGUACGGGUGAGUAAUACAUCGGAACGUGCCCGAUCGUGGGGGAUAACGAGGCGAAAGCUUUGCUAAUACCGCAUACGAUCUACGGAUGAAAGCAGGGGACCGCAAGGCCUUGCGCGGACGGAGCGGCCGAUGGCAGAUUAGGUAGUUGGUGGGAUAAAAGCUUACCAAGCCGACGAUCUGUAGCUGGUCUGAGAGGAUGAUCAGCCACACUGGGACUGAGACACGGCCCAGACUCCUACGGGAGGCAGCAGUGGGGAAUUUUGGACAAAGGGCGCAAGCCUGAUCCAGCCAUGCCGCGUGCAGGAUGAAGGCCUUCGGGUUGUAAACUGCUUUUGUACGGAACGAAAAGCCUUCUUUUAAUACAGGAGGGUCAUGACGGUACCGUAAGAAUAAGCACCGGCUAACUACGUG